rnacentral:pre_miRNA from 1 species
GUCACCUCGGGAUCUUGUUGAAAUGCAGGUUCUAGUUUGGUAGGUUCAAGUAGAGAUCAAGAUUCUGCAUCUUUAACAAGCUCCCGUGUGAUGCUGA